CUGCGUCCCCAAGUCAGGCGUGAACACCCGCUGAGUUUAAGCAUAUCAAUAAGCGGAGGA
rnacentral:rRNA from 1 species